CACCAUGUUUAUUGUUUUUUCUUUUCACUUUAAUAAAUACUCAAUUUAAUAGAGAUUAGGCGAAUUACCAGUUAAUUAGAUAAGAAUCUUAAAAUCAAACAAGACUAUUCUUUAAAUUAACAACUUAUUAAUACUUGCUAAUAAUUUGGGAAAAAUCAUAAUUCUAACUAACAUCUAAAGAAAAUCAGAUUCUGAUCUAUUCAUCAUCAUAUAGCAUAUUAGUAUCUAUUAAAUGGUUCGGGAAAAGUCAAAUCCUGUGCGAUCAUAUUUUAAAUUAGAUAUUGUAAAAAAUCAAUCUACUUGUAAACUAGAAAACUGUGGUAAAGUUUUAACCGGGGACCAUGCAGCAAAUCUUGAACGACAUAUAGAAAGAUUCCACGAUAAGGAA